GAUGAACGCUGGCGGCGUGCCUAACACAUGCAAGUCGAACGGAGUUGUCACCAUGAAGUUUUCGGAUGGAUUGGUAACAACUUAGUGGCGGACGGGUGAGUAACGCGUGGGUAACCUGCCUCAUACUGGGGGAUAACAGCUGGAAACGGCUGCUAAAACCGCAUAAGAUCGCAUCACCGCAUGGUGAGGCGGUUAAAUAUCGAAAGAUAGGUAUGAGAUGGGCCCGCGUCUGAUUAGCUAGUUGGUGAGAUAAGAGCCACCAAGGCGACGAUCAGUAGCCGGCUUGAGAGAGUGACCGGCACAUUGGGACUGAGACACGGCCCAAACUCCUACGGGAGCAGCAGUGGGGAAUAUUGCACAAUGGGGAAACCCUGAUGCAGCGACGCCGCGUGAGUGAAGAAGUGCUUCGGCAUGUAAAGCUCUAUCAGCAGGGAAGAAGAUGACGGUACCUGGACUAAGAACGCCCCGGACUAACU
rnacentral:rRNA from 1 species